CUCUGAACCUAUAGGGACUAUUGCUAUUCAAACCACCACAUUAGGGGAGAUUAAAAUACCUGCAUGAAAGUUUUAUGAGGUGGUGAAGAUCAAAAGUGGAAGUAAUUCACUGGAUGUUCUCUGCAGGCAAGCAAUCUUUCAAACAAAGAAACAAACAAACAAAACCAAAAACAUUCCUUACAGGAAGAUGAUCAUCGUAGACCAAGAAUGGAUGAACAAGGUGCGGUGAGACCUGUUUCUCUAUAUGCUCAUUAUAAAAACCAAUAAAAGGGGAAUUCUUAUAUAUACUAAUUGGCAAGAGUUCAAAUUCACUGCUUUUCAUGUGGAGAUCCAGAUGUCUCGCUGCCCAGAAGUGUUUUCUUUCCCUCCUGAAUAAGCUUUGCACCUUUGUUGCAGGAAAUUAAUGAUAAAUGCAUGGGCUUACUUCUGAGACUCAAUUUUAUCUCGAUCUCUGGGUCUGUCUUUAUGUGAGCACGGUGGUGUUUUAUUAUAAAUUUUAGGAAAUUCUGAAACUGGGUUCUUAAAAGUACUCAUAAUUUUCAUGAUUUUAGUUUUGCCUGAGACUUUUGCAUGUCUACCGGAGUUUAAGCAUCAUCCGACAUCCUGAUAAUUUUGCAUCUUUAGAUGCAGCUAAGGAGUACGGUCUUCUGAUCUACGAACAUCUAUGAUCAUUCUGCUCUCUUAGAUCUUAAAGUUGUCUCGGUGACAUACGAGGGUGGUCUUCUACUCCUUUUGUUACCUGCAUUUCUAAGUGUUUGUCUUUACUUUGGUCUUUCAUUCUUCGCAAUAACAUUAUAAGCGACAUUAAUAUCCUAAUUCAAAGUUGAUUUCAGAAAUUUCAUGGACAUUUCUUUCUCUUGCCUAUUGUCCUGGAUAGCCCUUUCAUCACAAUGCUGACUAGAAGUUGGAAGAAUGAACAUUCUUGUCUUGAUACUGACCUUAUAGAAAAGAACGUUAGCCAUUUAUCAUUAAAUUAUCAUAAGAUGUGACCUUGUGGGUUUGUCAUAAAUGGCUUUCUCAGGUUGAGGAAAAAAUUAUUUUCUACUCCUAUUUGUGAUGACUUAAGGAUGCUGAAUUUUUUCAGUUUUUUCAUGUACAAGUUAUUCUUUUAUUCUACAAUAUGGCACAUUUAAAUUAACCUUGCAUUUCUAAGGUAAGUACCACCAAAUUUGGUGCAUACUGUCGCUUUACACAGUUUAAUGUGCUGGUGUCUGGUAGUACUUUUCUAAGUAUUUUUGUUCCUCUCUUUCUUUAUAGGCGUUGUUGGUCUGUCAUUUACUUAUGAUGGCUUUGGGUAUGGGGUCCCAAUAACUCAGGCCCCCUAUAAUAAAUUGAGAAUUAUUCUUUGUUUUUGUCCUUGUUUGAGAAAUAUUUCUGAAGAUUGAUGUUAUUUUUUUUUCUUUGAAUGCUUUGUAAGUUUUAAACUAACCAAUUUAGCUGUAUUCUGUAUCAUUGACUUAUUUAUUAUUUCUGCAUUUUUUGAUUUACAAUUUGUGUUUUUCUGGAGAUUUAUACAUUCCAUGAAAGUUUAUAUAUAUGUGUGUGUGUGUGUGUGUGUGUGUGUGUGUGUGUGUGUGUGUGUGUGUGUUUAAGCAGCUGUUCACUAUAUACCAAUACAGAUCUUUUUAUUUAUGUAAUGUUAAUUGUGAGUUGGAGCUGUAGGAAAUGAGACAAGAGAUAAGAAUUAAAACAAGAGUCUUGAUCAACAAUAAGGAGGCUGCUUUUACUAGGACGUUGUUUCGAGCUGGCCAGCAGCUCACAUGUCCGGGUUCGAGCCUGGGAGGCAAUCUGGAGCUGAAAGAAAAGAGGGAACCUAGGCAGGUUGAGAAAUAAUGGAACCAAGACAUGCUAGUCUGUUCAAGGUUCAAGUGUUUAAUGGCAACUGCGCUUUUAAAAAGUGGGGGGGAGGCCCAUUCCCACCAAUUCAUCCUUGGAGCCUGAAACCAGCUGCAGGUGAUGACUGCAGGAUAGGGGGUAGUCUCAGGAGUAGCCCCGGGGGGCCUCUCAGCAGGUAGCAGUAUCUUGAAGAGGAACAGCAACAGUGGCUGAACAAUAGAGUGAUCUAGGGAGGAAGGAUCCACCUGAGGUAAUCUCCUUAGUGGCAGCAAAGUCAAGGUCUGGCUCAGCCUGCUUCAGGCUUGUGGGAAGUUACAGGAGGUGACAUAGUGGGCAUUAUGGCAGACAAGUCAUUUCCUUAACUGGGACCUUAGCGAAUUGAAAUGUCUCUCUGCUUCCUCAUAGGGUAAUUGUGAGAAGAAAAAUGAAAUAUGGGACAGAAAAUCCCAGGUCAAGUUGGAGGUCAGUUUUCAGGAACCAGGAUUUGGCCUGAAUUGUUGUUUUCAAAUCCUUAUCUGUUGACUCUUGAGGAAGGAAGGCAAAGAGACUCAAUAGAAGGCUCAGCAUUGUAUCUCAAGAAAGGUUUAUUUUGUCCAAAAAGAUACUUGGGAAUUGAACAUGAAUACGGGACACAGUCCAUGUUCAUAAAGGCCAUCAGCCCUCCAGAAGAGAGGAUGGAUCUGGAGAGAAGAGAUGGGAUUCCAUGAAGAGGAUCCAGUAGUUGGCUGGACCACACAACCCUGUUUCAGGAGGCAGUGGGAAGUUCGUUUGUGUCUUCAAGAUGUUGGAAGGGGCUUGAGUUCUUUCUUUCUUUCUUUCUUUCUUUCUUUCUUUCUUUCUUUCUUUCUUUCUUUCUUUCUUCCUUCCUUCCUUCCUUCCUUUCCUUCCUUCCUUCCUUCCUUCCUUCCUUCCUUCCUUCCUUCCUUCCUUCCUCCCUCCCUCCCUCCCUUCCUCUCCCUCUCCCUUAUUUUUUCAUCUAUAGCCUUAAUCCAGGGAGCUGCACAAUAUGCUCUUCAGUUUCCUUUCUUCCUUUAUUUUCAGUCAGCAGCAGAAGCUCUUGAGAGAAGCACUGUCUAAAUAUAAGAGUACAAUUAAGAGAAAUGCAUUCCUUUUCCUUAGGAAAACUUCCGUGAUGCACGGACACUUCUUACUCAGCAAGUUUAAUUGUUGCCUCUUUAAGGAAGAUUUCAUUUCCCCAGAGCUGAGGCAGAGGGAUGAUGCUAGGAGUCUGGUAAGCCCCUAAGAGUGAGAGAUAUGGCAUUUUUGUGGACAGAGAGACCUUACAGGACCAGCACUUCUCUUUCCCAAGAGGGUUGUGCUCUUCUGCAGUUUUAGAACAUGGUCCCCCUGUGAUUGCCUGGGACCUUCCUCCCAGGCGGGAGCUCACUUAAUCUGAUCUAACCUAAACUAUAGCUAUCAGGGUGUGAGGAACACCAUCUUCUAAAAAAAAUUAUUUCUUAUUAUAACCGCUUUUACUCUACAAAUUAAUGUGAUUCAUUAUAUUCAUUAAUAAAUGUUUCUUUAAUAA
rnacentral:lncRNA from 1 species